UACGAGGGGGGCGAGCGUUGUUCGGAAUUAUUGGGCGUAGAGGGUGCGUAGGCGGUUUGGUAAGUCUGAUGUGAAAUCUAUGGGCUCAACUCAUAGUCUGCAUCGGAAACUGCCGGGCUUGAGUGUGGGAGAGGUGAGUGGAAUUCCUGGUGUAGCGGUGAAAUGCGUAGAUAUCAGGAGGAACACCUGUGGCGAAAGCGGCUCACUGGACCAUAACUGACGCUGAGGCACGAAAGCGUGGGUAGCAAGCAGG
rnacentral:rRNA from 1 species